AACGCGAAGAACCUUACCGGGGCUUGACAUCGGACGCUCAUCUAUGAAAGUAGGUUUCCCCGCAAGGGGACGUCCAGACAGGUGCUGCAUGGCUGUCGUCAGCUCGUGCCGUGAGGUGUUGGGUUAAGUCCCGCAACGAGCGCAACCCUUGUCGUGUGUUGGUCAGCAAUGAUCUCUCACACGAGACCGCCGAUGAGAAGUCGGAGGAAGGUGGGGAUGACGUCAAGUCAGCAUGGCCCUUACGUCCCGGGCUACACACGUGCUACAAUGGGCAGGACAACGAGCUGCAAGCUAGUGAUAGUAAGCCAAUCUCUUAAACCUGUCCCCAGUUCGGAUUGAAGGCUGCAACUCGCCUUCAUGAAGUCGGAAUCGCUAGUAACCGCAGAUCAGCUACGCUGCGGUGAAUACGUUCCCGGGCCUUGUA
rnacentral:rRNA from 1 species